AAACAAUCUUCUAUUUGCUACACAUAAAGAAGAAGAAACAUGGCUGUAAUUCUCAAAUUUGUUUAUAUUAUGAUCAUAUUUCUUUUCCUACUUUAUGUCGUAAAUGGAACUCGAUGUAAUAGAGAUGAAGACUGCCCAUUUAUUUGUACCGGACCUCAGAUUCCGAAGUGUGUUUCACAUAUUUGCUUCUGUCUUAGCAGUGGCAAAGAAGCAUAUUGAUUAUACUUUGCAAGUAUUGUUGGUGUUAGAAUGGAAGGAUGUGCAUUUAGUCAUUGUGGAUUUGCCAUGUUUGGAGAAUCAUCUUUGUGUCUUUUUAGUUUUGUUGUUUUAUAUCUUUCCUAUGAAAGCGUUCUUGUUCUUUUGUUGGUGUAUUUGUUUUAAUAAAAAGUUGACUUUAUGUGAGUUGGGCUCCUCAACUUAUUAGAGUCAAGUCAAACCUUAAAGCUCGACAAGCUUUAGAGUUACUUAUGAAUGAGUCAACUUAAUUAUUACCAACUUAACCAACUUUCAUUGGCUUUGUUGGUGUAUUUUAGUCUUGUUGUAUUUCUUGGUGUUUUAUUUGGGCAGCUUUGUUAAGCUUGUUCUUACUGAUAUUUAUCUAUGUAUCCUUCUUCUAGUUCAAGCA